rnacentral:rRNA from 1 species
GACGUAGGGCGCGAGCGUUGUCCGGAUUUAUUGGGCGUAAAGAGCUCGUAGGCGGCUCAUUGCGUCAACCGUGAAAACCAGCAGCUCAACUGUUGGCUUGCGGUUGAUACGGGUGGGCUGGAGUUCGGUAGGGGAGACUGGAAUUCCUGGUGUAGCGGUGAAAUGCGCAGAUAUCAGGAGGAACACCGGUGGCGAAGGCGGGUCUCUGGGCAGUAACUGACGCUGAGGAGCGAAAGCGUGGGGAGCGAACAGG